rnacentral:rRNA from 1 species
UACAGAGGGUGCGAGCGUUAAUCGGAAUUACUGGGCGUAAAGCGCGCGUAGGCGGUUUUUGCAAGUCGGGUGUGAAAAUCCCCCAAGCUUAACUUGGGAACUGCAUUCGAGACUGCAUGGCUAGAGUAUGGGGAGAGAGAAGUGGAAUUUUCCGGUGUAGCGGUGAAAUGCGUAGAUAUCGGAAGGAACAUCAGUGGCGAAAGCGACUUCUUGGACCAAUACUGACGCUCAAGUGCGAAAAGCGUGGGGGAGCAAACAGG